GAUGAAGAACGUAGUGAAAUGCGAUACGUAAUGUGAAUUGCAGAAUUCAGUGAAUCAUCGAGUCUUUGAACGCACAUUGCGCCCCUUGGUAUUCCGGGGGGCAUGCCUCUUCCAGCGUCAUUUCACCCCUCAAGCUCUGCUUGGUUUUGGGCCGCGCCGGCAACGGCGGGCCUCGAAAAUAGUGGCGACGCCAUCGUGCUCUCAGCGUAGUAAUUCUUCUCGCUGUUGGGUCCCGGUGGUCGUCCGCCAGCAACCCCCAACUUUCUUAAGUUUGACCUGGGAUGAGGUAGGGAUACCCGCUGAACUUAAGCAUAUCAAUAAGCGGAGGA
rnacentral:misc_RNA from 1 species